GUUAAAACAGAUAUCAAACUGCGUAGCUAACAGAUAACAUACAUUUAUUUACUCACAUAUAUUCUGGUUAAUUAUCAGUUUACAUAUUAAAGAAAUGGGGACAGCAGAACUACAACUUUGCAGUCUCAACUUACAAACGAUAUAAAACAUCCUUCAUCAUUGUAUAGUACAACAUACAUACAAAUGAAUAUUCGACAAUGUGUUAUAACCAACUCAUAGUUAAAAACAACUUUAGUUAUGUUGAACUUCCUUGGCUGUGUUGAAUAAAGAAUUCGCAGUUGCGACUUUUAUGUAAACAAGUCAUUAAACUCAGUUUCAGAAGCAAUUGAAGGGCUUGUUAUAUAUAUUAUGUGACAUAAAGGUUUUUUGAAUCCGGUAGAAUGAAUAGAUUGAAUAAAUACAGUGAACAUUUGAACAAGUGAUUUAGAUCUAUUUAUGUUUAAAGUGCUUCGCUGAUCAAUAAGAUGAGCGACAAGCGAAAAAAUGAGAUAUGCUGAAUUACUUCA